ensembl:antisense Gm11712 predicted gene 11712
GACAGCACUGUAGCUGGUCAGAGAGAGAGAGACCAUUGACUCCCUCACAGAUGACAUCGGAGCACAGACAAGGGACAAGAUCUGGAGUGAUUCGGGCUACUGUAGAAACAGGGCCAUGAGCCACAGACUAACCUGGAAACCAAACCAGGGCCCAGCUUGUCAGCGAGGGGACAGAUAAUGGACUCCCUGAGCCGUGGCAUCAAGCUAGCACCCCACAGUGCAGCCCUGGCUAUUAAGAGGCACAAACUUCAACACGUGGGAGACCUUGUUACCUACGGACAAACCUUGAUCUACAGCUGUAUUGCCAAUUACUUGCUCAACAAACCUGUUACUUUUUUGGAAAUAAUAAAUAAUUCAGAGAAAAUCA